CUCCACCACCACCACCACCACCACCACCACCACCGCUACCACUAUCGACGUCGCCGCCGCCGCCGCCGUCGCCUCCACUGUUCCUCCACGCUUCCAGUCUUACCUGAUUGGAGUCAUUGAAGCACCUGGAUGUGUACCUGUUCAUUUACCUGUCACCUGGCAGGCGAGUCCCGCGGGCGUGGAGCGCGGUACUUUCUGUGUCCCGGAGGCGGUAAGCGAUACGCGGCUGAGGGGUGGCUGGCUGACUGCUUCCCGGGAGAGGCCAGCGGUGGGUGAAGCUGGCUGUGGCUGGCCCGGGUGACUAAGAGAGUGGGGACGUGCAUUUAGCCGUCUCUUCCCUUAUAUAUGUUCCAGAGAGCGUUAAAUUCUGUAACACAAUGGCGUAACAAAUUUUUUUUAUGAAGUUUAAUGUUUUGAAUACGGUUAUUUGAAGGUACUGGUAAUGUGCGAUGAAGGAAAUUUUGUUUAAGGUGUUUAAACGUAGUGGUAAUGUGUAUUUUUAGGUAUAUAAUGGGAGCAAAUAUUUCAGUUUCAAAGGGAUUUCAAUUUAGUAGCUUACCAUCACAGCUACGUCCGUCGUGAUGUAUAAAGAUAUUUUUAAUAGAAUAUCAGACGUAUUGGUAA